GGUUCUAUGUUGUAAUGGUUAGCACUCUGGACUCUGAAUCCAGCGAUCCGAGUUCAAAUCUCGGUAGGACCU
rnacentral:tRNA from 1 species